GAGGAGUUCUCGCGUUUUCCACAUGGCACACGACCCAAUUCGUCGAUCUUACAUAACCGACAACAUUGGAUCAUUCAUGCUCAGCUGAUCGUAAUACAUGCGCGCUGCCUCCAAUUAAAUGCGCGAUCACCGUGUCACCGAUGCAGUUGACAUAAGAUUUUACAAAGUAAACAGAAUAAGCUUAAGACAAAGCGUAUACGGUUCGAUUUAAUUAAUCGACCGAUAACAGAGGACCCGGUACACAAAGAAUUUGGCCUUGGCCUACUGUUUCACCAUUCGUUCGAGAAAUGAAAGAACGAAUCAUCGUCGCAAAAGUCGAGCGUGAGCGUCGAUAGUCCAUUGCACAACGGUAGAAACGUGCCUACGAAUGUUCUUUACCGGCUGGUAGGCUUUAAUGGAGCGAUUCGUACCAUUUGUGAAUCAUGAUUAACACGAUUCGGUAUGCUCGACAUUGUGUCCCGUUUUUCCCACCAGCUGAUGGAUCGCGUCUAGAGGCCUCCUGACCUACAUUAUUUUUCGCAACUCGACCCAUCUUUUUGUCAUUCAGUUCUUAUAUAUUAUUACAUUUAUUCGAGCGAAAGAAUGUUGGGAAAAAAUA